UUCUUUCCUCCCAAGUGCUUGCACUCAAUUGGAAAGAGGAGUGGCGGACGGGUGAGUAACACGUGGGUAACCUACCCAUCAGAGGGGGAUAACACUUGGAAACAGGUGCUAAUACCGCAUAACAGUUUAUGCCGCAUGGCAUAAGAGUGAAAGGCGCUUUCGGGUGUCGCUGAUGGAUGGACCCGCGGUGCAUUAGCUAGUUGGUGAGGUAACGGCUCACCAAGGCCACGAUGCAUAGCCGACCUGAGAGGGUGAUCGGCCACACUGGGACUGAGACACGGCCCAGACUCCUACGGGAGGCAGCAGUAGGGAAUCUUCGGCAAUGGACGAAAGUCUGACCGAGCAACGCCGCGUGAGUGAAGAAGGUUUUCGGAUCGUAAAACUCUGUUGUUAGAGAAGAACAAGGACGUUAGUAACUGAACGUCCCCUGACGGUAUCUAACCAGAAAGCCACGGCUAACUACGUGCCAGCAGCCGCGGUAAUACGUAGGUGGCAAGCGUUGUCCGGAUUUAUUGGGCGUAAAGCGAGCGCAGGCGGUUUCUUAAGUCUGAUGUGAAAGCCCCCGGCUCAACCGGGGAGGGUCAUUGGAAACUGGGAGACUUGAGUGCAGAAGAGGAGAGUGGAAUUCCAUGUGUAGCGGUGAAAUGCGUAGAUAUAUGGAGGAACACCAGUGGCGAAGGCGGCUCUCUGGUCUGUAA
rnacentral:rRNA from 1 species